rnacentral:rRNA from 1 species
GACGAACGCUGGCGGCGUGCUUAACACAUGCAAGUCGAACGGAAAGGCUCUGCUUUUGUGGGGUGCUCGAGUGGCGAACGGGUGAGUAACACGUGAGUAACCUGCCCUUGACUUUGGGAUAACUUCAGGAAACUGGGGCUAAUACCGGAUAGGAGCUCCUGCUGCAUGGUGGGGGUUGGAAAGUUUCGGCGGUUGGGGAUGGACUCGCGGCUUAUCAGCUUGUUGGUGGGGUAGUGGCUUACCAAGGCUUUGACGGGUAGCCGGCCUGAGAGGGUUACCGGCCACAUUGGGACUGAGAUACGGCCCAGACUCCUACGGGAGGCAGCAGUGGGGAAUAUUGCACAAUGGGCGGAAGCCUGAUGCAGCAACGCCGCGUGCGGGAUGACGGCCUUCGGGUUGUAAACCGCUUUCGCCUGUGACGAAGCGUGAGUGACGGUAAUGGGUAAAGAAGCACCGGCUAACUACGUG